rnacentral:rRNA from 1 species
UACAGAGGGGGCUAGCGUUGUUCGGGAUCACUGGGUGUAAAGGGUGCGUAGGCGGUGUGUCGCGUCGGUCGUGAAAACUUGGGGCUUAACCCUGAGCUUGCGGUCGAUACGGGCAUCACUGGAGUUCGGCAGGGGAGACUGGAAUUCCUGGUGUAGCGGUGAAAUGCGCAGAUAUCAGGAGGAACACCGGUGGCGAAGGCGGUUCUCUGGGACGGUACUGACGCUGAGACGCGAAAGCGUGGGGAGCGAACAGG